CUGAAACAAAUAUGAAUACCAGAACUGUAGAUAUAGAGUGUCAUAGUUUAGGUUUCCUGAGAGCAGACCCCAAAACAAUGAUCCAAGUGCAAGUAAUUUAUUUGGCUGAUGAUUCCAGGAAAUACUGGGAAGGGAGUUAGGGAGACAGAAACCAGAAGAUAGAAACUAAAGGCCACUUCAUUGAACACAUCACAAUGCACCAUCGCUACUGGGUCCCCACACACCUAUCCUGUACUAGCAGAGUCCAUAAGAGCACUGCAAAAGAUGAUACAUUUCAGUACGAGUGGGGCUCUCUCUCCUAGACGCCAUCUCUAACCCUUCUGAUAAGUGUUCUUUAGGUGGUUCUCACUCCAGUGGAGCAAUUCAGCAG
rnacentral:lncRNA from 1 species